CCUUGUCAUUAGUUGCUACAUUUAGUUGGGCACUCUAGUGAGACUGCCGGUGACAAACCGGAGGAANGUGGGGAUGACGUCAAUUCCUCAUGGCCCUUAUAGGUGGGGCUACACACGUCAUACAAUGGCUGGUACAAAGGGUUGCCAACCCGCGAGGGGGAGCUAAUCCCAUAAAACCAGUCGUAGUCCGGAUCGCAGUCUGCAACUCAACUGCGUGAAGUCGGAAUCGCUNGUAAUCGUGGAUCAGAAUGUCACGGUGAAUACGUUCCCGGGUCUUGUACACACCGCCCGUCACACCAUGGGAGCGGGUUCUGCCANAAAUAUUUAGCCUAACCGCAAAGAGGGCGAUUACCACGGCAGGGUUCGUGACUGGGGUUAA
rnacentral:rRNA from 1 species